rnacentral:lncRNA from 1 species
CAAACUAAAAAAAAAAAGAUUUGCUUUAAUGGCGAUUGUAGAGAGUUAUCGAGUCAUGGACGAUCAUGGACGAUCUAAUUCAGCUUCAUCUCCAGGGUAAAUCUUUUCUUUAUUUUCUUCAUCCUUGAUAUAUGGUUGAACACAAAAUAUUUGUUAAGCAAUUUUUUUUUGGUUUUUGCUAUCUUUUGCAUGUGGUUUCAAAUCGAGUUUAAUGUGUACUCCUAAUGAAAUCGAAGCAGAUCUGAGGCAGUCAAAGAAAGAUCAAUCUGAACUCAUUUGUUUUGGUAUUCAUCUUGGAGUUUUGUCACUUGAUAUGCCAUGCUCCAAUUGGAAGAAGGCUUCCUUGUACAUGUUCCAAAUACAUUUAUAAUAUUUACAUCAUUUAGAAUAAUAACUUUUUAAUAAAAAUGUGAAUGAAAAAUUUAGGAUUGCUUACAUUCUCAUCCACCAAGACGAAUUACAUGGUUUCUCCACCUAGUUGAAUGUUUUGUUUCCAAGAAUGUAGAACCUUUGCAUGAACCAUCUUAGU